ensembl:lncRNA DGUOK-AS1 DGUOK antisense RNA 1
AGGCGACUGCUCCCGCGAGGUCAGAGCCGGGCUGUGCCGCUGCCCCCGGGACUAGAAAGGGAAAUCUCCUUGCUAGAGGAGGAAGCCCUAAGAACUCAAGGGAGAUAGGGGUGGCAGGGGCAUUUCCCUGGAUGCCUGGAGCAUGGAGGGUGCGAAAUAAGGAGGCUUUCCUACCCCAUUGAUGAGCUGAAGUUGAUUCCGCACGGGGGAGGAAAGGGACAGGAAGCAUAAUUGGAUGUGCAAGCCUGUGGUUCUUCAGGAAGUUAACACGUGGAACUAACACUGUUGGAUGCUGCUGAACUCUCAGGAGGCUUUCCGGAAGCACUAAGAAAUAGAACUAGUUUGUCUAAUUUGGAAUUAAAAGAGUAACCAACUGAGUGUCUUCAGCAGUGACAAUGAAAAUGUACCACUUCCCAUUUUGAUAAUUCAAAGAGCCUUAAGAAAGAUCGUUUUGCUUGAAAGCACUAUUUCACACUGACACUGGUCAUUCAUAGGCUUCAGAUAAGAAAAACUCCAGCAGUGUCCAGAUCAAGCCAUCCUGACUUUGUCUCUAGGCGGCUUAACCUCAAGUCACAGCCUGGUCUCUGCAGCAGAGCCAGGCAUUCCGGAGCCUGCACGGCCUAGCUCUUCUGGAGCAGAUGGGCUCACUUCCCAGGGUGCUGCUAGCUUGCAUUCAAAGUGACUUCACAUCUCACUCCCUCAGGUGGUCAGGAUGAUGCCCAUCCCUGAUCUGACACAGGCACUGAUGUCCACUAGACUCUGGCCAGCAAAAAGCCCUCUCACAGAAGAAGGGGUCAAAAAGGGCUAAAUCUGAGACAGAAGCCAGUUUCUCAGAUGUGCUAUUUCUGCCUAAGCAUCCUUUCUUGAACAAUAAAAAAAAAAGGCUGAAAAUAUCUCUUAUAUCAUUUUCAGGAACACAAA